UCUUCAAUCAUUUUCUCUUGGGAAUUAACAUUAUGAAAAUCUUUAGAUAACUUUUAUAAUUUUCAACUUUCACAUUUAACUAAUUUAUAUACAAAAACAUCGCUUUAUCGUUUCUGAAUUUCAAAUAUAAAGUGAAUUCUCCAAGCCAUUACCAGAUUUUGUUGUCAAGUAGCACUUUUUUAUAUUUUAAAAUUCCUUUAUUAUUCUUUUUAAUGCUGAUUAUGAAUGUACCCAUCGUUUGUUAUGUAAACAAGACCAUGCUAAAGAUGUGCUAACUUUUUACGAUUUGUCCCUAGUCAUUCAUUCAUAUCAAUAUGAAGAUAUUUAUAUUCUAAUUUUCAUUAUUAUAAUUAACAAUCAAAAAUAAAUAAAAGUUUUAUAUAAAAAAAUGAUUUCAAAGAAAUUAAAAUCAUUGUGGGGUGUGCCGGGUAACAAAAUGACUAGAUUGUGUGCGUACAAGCAGAGGUGCUCAUUUAUUGAAUUUCAUUAUGCACGAGAAGGAUAAAGACAUUUGUGUACAUUUUAUUUUGGUCGACCUAUAUCUUCUGCGUAUACUCGAAACUUUCUACGCUCGAUACUUGGGAAUGGACGAUGCUACCUGCGACAGCAACGUGAUUGAUUUGUAAAUCAAAUUCGAAUUUAUUCGGCCAGUCGAGGAAAAAAAAACUAAAUUUUUAUAUAUUUUCUUCACAGACAUAGAAGAAAACAGAUGAUGCACGAAAUCUUUAAACAAGAGUCAAAAGAUUCGAUAUUUUUUUAAUUACUCAAUCGAGUAAUUAAAAUCUGAUUUAUGUGUUAUCGUUACCAAUUUUUAACAAUAAAGUUAAUUUUCAUCUUCGAAAAGUA